GACGAACGCUGGCGGCGUGCUUAACACAUGCAAGUCGAACGGAAAGGCCCUGCUUUUGUGGGGUGCUCGAGUGGCGAACGGGUGAGUAACACGUGAGUAACCUGCCCUUGACUUUGGGAUAACUUCAGGAAACUGGGGCUAAUACCGGAUAGGAGCUCCUGCUGCAUGGUGGGGGUUGGAAAGUUUCGGCGGUUGGGGAUGGACUCGCGGCUUAUCAGCUUGUUGGUGGGGUAGUGGCUUACCAAGGCUUUGACGGGUAGCCGGCCUGAGAGGGUGACCGGCCACAUUGGGACUGAGAUACGGCCCAGACUCCUACGGGAGGCAGCAGUGGGGAAUAUUGCACAAUGGGCGGAAGCCUGAUGCAGCAACGCCGCGUGCGGGAUGACGGCCUUCGGGUUGUAAACCGCUUUCGCCUGUGACGAAGCGUGAGUGACGGUAAUGGGUAAAGAAGCACCGGCUAACUACGUGCCAGCAGCCGCGGUGAUACGUAGGGUGCGGGCGUUGUCCGGAUUUAUUGGGCGUAAAGGGCUCGUAGGUGGUUGAUCGCGUCGGAAGUGUAAUCUUGGGGCUUAACCCUGAGCGUGCUUUCGAUACGGGUUGACUUGAGGAAGGUAGGGGAGAAUGGAAUUCCUGGUGGAGCGGUGGAAUGCGCAGAUAUCAGGAGGAACACCAGUGGCGAAGGCGGUUCUCUGGGCCUUUCCUGACGCUGAGGAGCGAAAGCGUGGGGAGCGAACAGGCUUAGAUACCCUGGUAGUCCACGCUGUAAACGGUGGGUACUAGGUGUGGGGUCCAUUCCACGGGUUCCGUGCCGUAGCUAACGCUUUAAGUACCCCGCCUGGGGAGUACGGCCGCAAGGCUAAAACUCAAAGGAAUUGACGGGACCCCGCACAAGCGGCGGAGCAUGCGGAUUAAUUCGAUGCAACGCGUAGAACCUUACCCGGGUUUGACAUGGAUCGGGAGUGCUCAGAGAUGGGUGUGCCUCUUUUGGGGUCGGUUCACAGGUGGUGCAUGGCUGUCGUCAGCUCGUGUCGUGAGAUGUUGGGUUAAGUCCCGCAACGAGCGCAACCCUUGUUCACUGUUGCCAGCACGUUAUGGUGGGGACUCAGUGGAGACCGCCGGGGUCAACUCGGAGGAAGGUGGGGAUGACGUCAAGUCAUCAUGCCCCUUAUGUCCAGGGCUUCACGCAUGCUACAAUGGCUGGUACAGAGAGUGGCGAGCCUGUGAGGGUGAGCGAAUCUCGGAAAGCCGGUCUCAGUUCGGAUUGGGGUCUGCAACUCGACCUCAUGAAGUCGGAGUCGCUAGUAAUCGCAGAUCAGCAACGCUGCGGUGAAUACGUUCCCGGGGCU
rnacentral:rRNA from 1 species